AUUGAACGCUGGCGGCAUGCCUUACACAUGCAAGUCGAACGGCAGCACGGGAGCAAUCCUGGUGGCGAGUGGCGAACGGGUGAGUAAUAUAUCGGAACGUGCCCAGUCGUGGGGGAUUACGUAGCGAAAGCUACGCUAAUACCGCAUACGAUCUAUGGAUGAAAGCGGGGGAUCGCAAGACCUCGCGCGAUUGGAGCGGCCGAUAUCAGAUUAGGUAGUUGGUGAGGUAAAGGCUCACCAAGCCGACGAUCUGUAGCUGGUCUGAGAGGACGACCAGCCACACUGGGACUGAGACACGGACCAGACUCCUACGGGAGGCAGCAGUGGGGAAUUCUGGACAAUGGGCGCAAGCCUGAUCCAGCAAUGCCGCGUGCAGGAUGAAGGCCUUCGGGUUGUAAACUGCUUUUGUACGGAACGAAACGGCGAGCUCUAAUACAGCUUGCUAAUGACGGUACCGUAAGAAUAAGCACCGGCUAACUACGUGCCAGCAGCCGCAGUAA
rnacentral:rRNA from 1 species